rnacentral:rRNA from 1 species
AGCUCCAAUAGCGUAUAUUAAAGUUGUUGCAGUUAAAAAGCUCGUAGUUGGAUUUCUCGCCGGAGCGACCGGCCCGCCCUCAUCGGGUGUGCGCUCGCGUCGGCUCCUGCGAUCCUUGGGCAGAGGCGGCUUGCGGUUAGUUCCGUGGGCCGUGGAUGCCCAUCGUUUACUGUGAAAAAAUUAGAGUGCUCCACGCAAGCAAUGCGCCUGGAUAUCUCAGCAUGGAAUAAUAAGAUAGGACUGUCGUCGAUCUUGUUGGUUUACCGACGAAGUAAUGAUUAAUAGGGAUAGUUGGGGGUAUUCGUAUUUAAUUGUCAGAGGUGAAAUUCUUGGAUUUAUGAAAGACGAACUACUGCGAAAGCAUUUACCAAGGAUGUUUUCA